GCGACCCGGAGGACAAUCUGGGAUCCGCCAGCUGCCUCUGGAAGGCAGAGGAUGGUUGGCGCACUCGCAGGGUGGCAAUGCUUAGCAGAAGCGCAGGUUUUGAAGUUUCCUAUGCUCAGGACACUGCCCAGUAUCUGAGUUGACUUCCUGUUGCCUGCAAGAUGUAGCACUCUCAGCUCCAGCACCACAUCUGCCAGCACAACGCCAUGCUCCCCGUCAUGAUGAUAAUGGACUGAACCUCUGAAACUAGUGCUAGGAUUAAAGACCUGCGCCACCACCUAAACUAAGAAGGGCGGUGAGAAGUCAUUCUUCAUUUGGAACAAACUCCCCGCGCCUGUGGAGAGGCCAGCUUCUAAUAAAGAAGCUGCUCUCCGCCCUCCAGAAGCCCGGGAAGGCGAAUACCCGCAACAGAAUGAGCCACGAGAUGCAAGCAACUGAAAAGGCCAAGCCUUCGCCUUCCGUCUUCCCCAGGACCUCAAAGGACCCCGGGCCACCCGCUCGCCCGCGGCCACCAGCACCCCGCCUCAGCAGCGAGUCUCACCCGGGGCAGCCUGCGAGCGUCUGAGCGCAAAGCCGGAGCCGCCAGGGGGCGCGCGCGCGCGCGCCACCGCCUAAGACGGAAGUCCCGCCUCCCAUUUCCGGUGGCAGAAAGGUG